GGAUCACUCUCAUUUUCUUAUUCUUACUUUUUUUUCCAUUGAACGACCGUGUUAGAGUCCCCCACAAUAUAUAAUUGUAGGUAUGAAAUAAAUUUUCAGUAAUGAACGACUCAACUCUUAAAAUAUUUUCCUAUUUCUUUUCUAGAAAUAACUUCACUACAUUUCUUGGUGUCAAAACAGGUUAAGAUAGAGAAUCUAUUCUCUUAAAAAAAAAAAA